rnacentral:tRNA from 2 species
GAGUAAAAAUUAUAAAUUUUAAUAAGUUGUUUUGAUUUGACAAAAAUAUUUCUAGUUU